AACAGGAUUAUUGCUGUACCACAGCAGCCUGGGGAUAUUAUAUCUGCCACUGCUUACAAAUAGUUUGGAAGUAACUGGCAAGAAUGGAGGAACAAGUCCAAGGACAAAGCCAUCUGAUGAUGGGUCAUGCUGUUGAGGAGCACAGAGAAAUGUUUCGAAGCUUGCUCCACAUAUGAAUCAAGUUACGAAAUGUAGGUGAACAAGUAAUGACUCCAGCAGCAAUCCCAUGUUUCAGGUAUUCGCGACAACUAGCCUGAAGACUGUAAAGACUCAAAUUCUUGGUUGUAAAUAAUGUU